UGGGGAAUCUUAGACAAUGGGCGCAAGCCUGAUCUAGCCAUGCCGCGUGAGUGAUGAAGGCCCUAGGGUCGUAAAGCUCUUUCGCCAGGGAUGAUAAUGACAGUACCUGGUAAAGAAACCCCGGCUAACUCCGUGCCAGCAGCCGCGGUAAUACGGAGGGGGUUAGCGUUGUUCGGAAUUACUGGGCGUAAAGCGCGCGUAGGCGGAUUGGAAAGUUGGGGGUGAAAUCCCAGGGCUCAACCCUGGAACUGCCUCCAAAACUAUCAGUCUAGAGUUCGAGAGAGGUGAGUGGAACUCCGAGUGUAGAGGUGAAAUUCGUAGAUAUUCGGAAGAACACCAGUGGCGAAGGCGGCUCACUGGCUCGAUACUGACGCUGAGGUGCGAAAGUGUGGGGAGCAAACAGGAUUAGAUACCCGCGUAGUCC
rnacentral:rRNA from 1 species